rnacentral:lncRNA from 1 species
GGUUUUUCCGUGCCAGGCUCCGUUUCAAAGAACGAACUUGAUCCGUAGAAAACAGAUGCGAUGGUGGCACGAUGCAGCUUUCGGUUUGUGAAGUCGCUUUAAGAACAUUAUGGACGGAAAAUGGAGGAUGGGGCGCCAGCUUGGAGA